CACGUAGGGCGCAAGCGUUGUCCGGAAUUAUUGGGCGUAAAGAGCUCGUAGGCGGUCUGUUGCGUCCGCUGUGAAAACUCGGGGCUUAACCCCGAGCCUGCAGUGGAUACGGGCAGACUAGAGGUAGGUAGGGGAGAAUGGAAUUCCCGGUGUAGCGGUGAAAUGCGCAGAUAUCGGGAGGAACACCGGUGGCGAAGGCGGUUCUCUGGGCAUUAACUGACGCUGAGGAGCGAAAGCAUGGGGAGCGAACAG
rnacentral:rRNA from 1 species